rnacentral:rRNA from 1 species
AUUGAACGCUGGCGGCAUGCCUUACACAUGCAAGUCGAACGGUAACGGGCCUUCGGGUGCCGACGAGUGGCGAACGGGUGAGUAAUACAUCGGAACGUGCCCGAUCGUGGGGGAUAACGAGGCGAAAGCUUUGCUAAUACCGCAUACGAUCUACGGAUGAAAGCAGGGGACCGCAAGGCCUUGCGCGGACGGAGCGGCCGAUGGCAGAUUGGGUAGUUGGUGGGAUAAAAGCUUACCAAGCCGACGAUCUGUAGCUGGUCUGAGAGGAUGAUCAGCCACACUGGGACUGAGACACGGCCCAGACUCCUACGGGAGGCAGCAGUGGGGAAUUUUGGACAAUGGGCGCAAGCCUGAUCCAGCCAUGCUGCGUGCAGGAUGAAGGCCUUCGGGUUGUAAACUGCUUUUGUACGGAACGAAAAGCCUUCUUUUAAUACAGGAGGGUCAUGACGGUACCGUAAGAAUAAGCACCGGCUAACUACGUG